CCCUACGGGGGGCAGCAGUGGGGAAUAUUGGGCAAUGGGCGCAAGCCUGACCCAGCAACGCCGCGUGGGUGAAGAAGUACUCCGGUAUGUAAAGCCCUGUCAGCAGGGAAGAAAAUGACGGUACCUGACCAAGAAGCCCCGGCUAACUACGUGCCAGCAGCCGCGGUAAUACGUAGGGGGCAAGCGUUAUCCGGAUUUACUGGGUGUAAAGGGAGCGUAGACGGCAAGGCAAGUCUGGAGUGAAAGCCCGUGGCCCAACCACGG
rnacentral:rRNA from 1 species